rnacentral:lncRNA from 1 species
CUAAGGCGCAAGGCAGCUGCACAUCCACGGCCAGCCUCGUUGUCUUCAGGGAUUUGUUCAAAGUUCAUUCUGAAUUGUAAGGUAACCACUGCAGAACACGAGCCUUUCCUGGGUAUGUGUGGUUAUUUCUGCCCUUCACGGUCCCACUCAAGUCCUGCCUCCCUCAGGGAGACCUCCCAGACCUCACCAAGCCGUGGGCACGUGGACCAGAAGCCGUGGACCCCAGAGGCUCAUUUAGGGAUCUGCUUUCUGAACCCAGGUCCUAACAUCUGCACUGCAGCGAGCAUUUCUGGUGCCUCAAGUGAGUCACUCCAACUUCCAGGAGCCACCAGCCACAGGCAGCCACUGAGCCCUUGGCAUGUAACCCGGUAACCCAUGCAACAGAAGACCUGAGCGUCCAGUGUUGCUAGCUUGAAGUAACUUCAGUGGUGUUCCCCAGCGUUUUUCUCAUCCCCCUCCCUUCCCUUCCCCUACAGCUUUCUUCCUCUUUCCCCUCCUUCUGAGUCUUUCGUCCCCAGUCCUGGGAACCUUUUUUCUGACUUGGUGUUUUCUCCUGAAUGCCUCCUUCCUGGCCCCCUAAUCAGAAAUGCAGAAGCCACCUGCCCCACACAGGGGGCCACUUUCCCUGCAUCUGGCACUCACCAGGACAGUCAUAGAACUGGCCUUGGGUGCUUGGGGAGAGUGGAGAGGUCUGGGGGGCAUCCACUGGCCUCAGCCUCAGAGCUUCUCAUCAGUAACCCAGGAGGCAAAGGCCCAGCUCAAGAUUAGCCCAGGCCACUGUAUCUGUGCCAAGACCUACAGCUGUCCCUGCAGGGCGUGCAUCUCUGCAGCCCAGGCUAUCACAAUGGUGUCCCUUUUGGUGGGGAUGUGAGGCCUGCUGCUGCCUGGGAAGAAGCUGACAGGAUUGUUGGUGCUGUGGGGAGAAGCUGGUGUAACUGAGACCCAUGAGGGAGGCCCUUUGUGGGUCUGUGGCUGGGAGGAGCUCUGGGGAAGAUGGGCCUUGAGAAAUCCCAGCUUAGCACCUUUGACAGUUGCUCCACUGAGUCACCCUAGACUGCAAUCUCACAGAUGUUCUAACCACCCUCUCCCUGGGGAGCCCUUGGGGGUGCUGCAAGCCCAGUCCUCACUCACUGGCUUUGUGCUUCUCUUCCCGACUUCCUUUUUUUGCUCCUGUUGAGAAAUGUGGGUCCAGGGCUGCGUGCUCCAGUGUGCGGAAGGAAGGGCAGCGUGCUCUUUGGACUGAGCUGGCUCAAGGGAAGCUGGGUCUGAGGGGAGACUGACCUCGACCCUUCUUAAAUGAAACACCUUUUCCCUGCGUCUCAGUCACCGUUACCUGGCCUGAUCACUGUGUGCCACACCCCAUCACAUCCAUCCCCACAAGAAUGCCAGGAGGAGGGGUCAUUGGCCUUUUUGUCAGCACAAACCUCUGGAGGCCCAGCUCCCAAGACCCGCCAGGCACACCUGCCAGAGUGCCUUAACUUGGGAUGUCUGCAAACCUCUGUCCAUGGCCGAACCCACCCCACUGCCUGUUACUGUAAAUAAAGGUCUAUUAGCAUGCCACCAUGCCCCUCCUCCGAUGCAUACAGUGCCCAGCUCAGCACCUGGUGCAAGUAAGCACAAUCUGGCUUCCAGCCAUCACUGCUGUUGCUACUAACACAAAUAUUAGGCCCCUUCUAGAAUGCAAAGAUAACCCAGGGCUGCUCGUUCUGUGUCCAGAUCACAGAGUUUUUCUUUUUAUCCUUAUCAACUUUAUUGAGGGAUAAUUUACAGGCAAUAAAUCAUAUCCAUUUAAAGUUAUUGUCAAGCUUUUAAAGAAUUAAAGUUCGUCUUCUUCAGAAGCUUACCGAGGACUACAGGCUGUGGCGUAGAGCCCUGGAGCAGCCUCCACUGAGGUUCUGUAUUUCAGGUCACAGUUGACAUAUAGGUGGGAGGUCCAGUACGUGCAAAGUCACAUGAAAGCUUGGGUGUCAGAGUGCAUCAGGUUAUGGAUUCAAUUACAGAGCAAUAAUCACUGACCCUGUCAGAUGUUAUCUUACGUGUAGGAAAAGGUAAGACCAGGGCCAUUUAUCUGCAAAGAAUAUAGUGACUCAGGCAAGAGUCCGGAGAGGGUGUGUGCUCCAUCCUGUUUUGUCUUCAGAGCAUCUUUCUGGGGAGCUGCACAUCGUUAUAGAGACAGGCACUUUGUGAAAUUCUGCUGCCAAGCACAAAUGAGCAAACGUGGUUUCCUAUGUUUACUACUUUGUCUCACAAAGCGCACAUUCACAGUGCAUUAUUAAGGGGCCCUGGCAGCACCGCCACAGUGUAUCUCUGCUCCCUCUUAAAGUUCCCCGUGCCCCUUGGCAGACAGGCCCCUCUCACUCCUGGGCCCAGGCUACCAUUGACCAGCUUUUUGCCACUAGAGGUUAAUUUUCAUUCUAUGUGAUUGGAAUCAUACAGAUGUUCUUGUAUCUGACUUAUUUCACUCCACAUAGUGAUUCUGAGAUUCAAAUGUUGUGUGUAUCAGUUGUUUGUUCCUUUUUAUUCCUGAAUGGGAGAGGGGAUGUCAAGCUGCACAGUUUUAUUCCUGGGCUACAGUGGAGAUGGAUGGUUCUACCGUCUCUCUGAAACACCAUCUGCAGUUUCUUCAAAAUCUACCUACACAUCUUCCAUCCCAUCCUGAGGAGUCCCCGAGGGUUGAGAAAUGCAUGACCCCACACCUGGCUGACGUGUACAACUGGCGGAGUUAGUUUUUCCUGUUGACACUGGCCACGGGCGCCUCAGCAUGCACAGCCCUGGCCUUGCUCCUCUAGGCAUGCUGGGGGCUUGUCCACACGUGUGGUCUACGGAUGGAGGAGAGUGGCCUCUGGCCCAUGCGUGCCAUGCACUGGACCUUCCCAGGGAAUCAAGUUACAUGAUGUUUCCUUGAGGAGCUACAUACAAAGUAAAAAACUGAAAUCAAGAAUAUCAGUCAUUUCUGAAUAUGCCAAUUCGCCCAUGGUGCAGUUUGUACAGCUUAAUCACUGCAGAACAGUUUUGAGGAUAAAAUUAACCAAAAACCUAAGUAGACAAAAUAUUCAAAUUUUUGGAAUCUGUCACAAAAAUCCACAGAUGACUUAUUUUCCAUUGUAGCUUAUAAUGUCCAAAAGCCUUUCUAGUGACUUAUAACUGAUGGUGAGCUCCCACUCUGUGGCAGCUGUGGGACACUGGUCUAAGGACUACACCCUGAUGCCUGGUGAGUUACAGAGGCCAUGAGAAGAUGUCAGUGAACCUGAAAGCCAGGGAGAGGCUGUGUUCCUGCCGGACUGUGGGGCUCCUUCGCUCCCCUGCUGUGGCCCUUGGUCAGGCCACUUUCCCUCUCUGGGUGUCAGUGGCUUCAUCUACGAAGUGAUAAAAAACUAAUGCAAACCAGAGCAAAAUGAGAUAACACGGGGACCCCUAAUGUCCCAGGGAGAUGGUGAACUGAAGCACCGCGUGCGGUGAGUUGUUGCUGUCUCCACCCCUCAAGGAGACCGCAGCUUUGCAGACGUGUGGGUCCCAUCAUCGGCCCCAUUCUACAUUCCUCCCUGUGUCCCUGCCAUCGCCAGGUGACUUUGCUGGGCCCUCCCACCGCCCUAACUCCCAAUCCCAAGAUCUUCAGUGAACGUGACGCGCACAGCAGAGGCCCAGAAUGUAUGUGUGCAUGUGGUGACAGCUAAGCCUGCCUGGAGCAGAGCCCCAACCCUGCAGCAGCUCAAACAAGCUGAGAUCAGCAAAUGCACAUCUGACUCUCAGACAUGGGGGCAAUAAUAAUAAAUGCUGUUUGAGUUUUGGGGUCUUUGGCUACACAGCAAUUGCUCACCAAUAUGACAGGGUUGUAUGACGUGGCCAUGCGGAACUGUAUUAUAGGGGAAGUGGUGAACAGUGUGAUGAGAUUUUAAAGAGGAACAGAUUUACCACUGACUUUAGAAAUCAUGGAGGAGAAAUCUCUGGGGUUGCCCUUGAAGGGUGUGUGGAGGAGGACAUGGGAGAAGGGGGAAGAACCGUGGCAUCCUGGCUAAACAGACACAGGGCAGAGGGAGCCUCUGUGUUGGGACUAAGAUGGGGAUGUCGGGGAAGGGACAUGGCAAGCUGACUGUUGGUG